UGCUCCCUAGGGCUGCCCCCAUGCACGGGUGAGGUGAGGUAAUUUUGUGUGAAGGGAGCACUGUGUGCUGUGCAAUGCUGUGUCACAAUGACGAUGGGAGUGUCACAGGUGUGGUUUCAUCUUUGGUUUCUUUCACUUUUAUGGCUACAGGUUUUUGAGCCUUGUUCUACGGCUUCAGGUUUUCAUGUAAGCCUUGUUCUGUAGUUUCAGUCUGUUCUCAACUGAUUUUAUUGUUCUAUUUUAGGAACAUUUCACAGUCCAUUCAGCCAGGGCAAUGGACUGAGAAGACUGGCUGUGACUUCGACGUAAAUAUUUAAAAUCAAGCUUUUAUAGGUGUUGUUGACACAUUGUUACUGUAUGUGUUUCCGUAUCGAUUGUACUUUAGUUACGCCCCCAUCAUAUUCACAGUCUGACACUUUGUUAUUCAGGGUUUCCCACAACAAACCGGCGGAGUGAACUGUGGAAUCUUCAUGCUAAUGUAUGCGCUCAGCUUUUGCACUAGCACUCCGUUCAACUUCUCAGAGGGGGACAUGCCAUCUCUUAGGAAAUGGUGGUGUUUGGAGGUCAUGGAGAGGUUCUCCAUUGAAGGGUAGGACCAUUUAAACGUGGAUAGACAUUUUCACACUUAUUUUUGACGUUACAUUACUACAUGUAGUAUACAUUGGUUUUCU